GUGGACCAGCACACCCCAGGAGAGAGGACUGGGGUCCCAGGAGUAGGAGGAGCCCGAGCACCAUGAGCUCCGGAGCCCCUGCACACCUCGGCCUCUGCCUCUGGCUGUGGCUGGGCGCCACCCUGGGAAGAGAGCAAGUUCAAGCAAGUGGCCUCCUGAGGCUGUCUGUGCUGCCUGAGGACCGGCUGCAGAUGAAGUGGAGAGAGUCGGAGGGGAGCGGCCUCGGCUACCUGGUGCAGGUGAAGCCCAUGGCAGGGGACUCGGAACAGGAGGUGAUACUGACCACCAAGACCCCUAAGGCCACAGUGGGGGGCCUGAGCCCCUCCAAGGGCUACACCUUGCAGAUCUUCGAGCUCACUGGCUCUGGGCGCUUCCUGCUAGCUCGGAGGGAGUUUGUGAUUGAGGAUCUGAAGAGUAGCUCCCUGGACAGAAGCAGCCAGAGGCCCCUCGGCUCUGGAGCCCCGGAGCCCACCCCCUCCCACAUGGGGAGCCCAGACCCUGAGCAGGCUUCUGAGCCCCAAGUUGCCUUCACACCAAGCCAGGAUCCGCCCACUCCUGCCGGCCCCCAGUUCCGCUGCCUGCCCCCCGUGCCUGCUGACAUGGUCUUCCUGGUGGACGGGUCCUGGAGUAUUGGCCACAGUCACUUCCAGCAGGUCAAGGACUUCCUGGCCAGCGUCAUCGCACCCUUUGAAAUCGGGCCGGAUAAGGUCCAAGUAGGCCUGACUCAGUACAGCGGGGAUGCUCAGACUGAGUGGGACCUGAACUCCCUCAGCACCAAGGAACAGGUGCUGGCAGCUGUGCGCCGCCUCCGCUACAAGGGGGGGAACACGUUCACAGGCCUUGCCCUGACCCACGUGCUGGGGCAGAACCUGCAGCCGGUGGCUGGCCUCCGUCCAGAGGCAGCCAAGGUGGUGAUUCUGGUGACGGACGGCAAGUCCCAGGACGAUGUGCACACUGCUGCCCGUGUCCUCAAGGACCUGGGCGUGAACGUCUUCGCUGUGGGUGUGAAGAACGCCGAUGAGGCUGAGCUGAGGCUCCUGGCGUCCCCGCCGAGGGACAUCACCGUCCACAGCGUGCUGGACUUCCUGCAGCUUGGCACACUGGCUGGCCUGCUCAGCCGUCUCAUCUGCCAGAGGCUCCAGGGUGGGAGCCCGCGGCAGGGCCCAGCAGCAGCGGCUCCAGCCCUGGACACCCUCCCUGCCCCCACCAGCCUGGUCCUGAGCCAGGUGACCUCCUCCAGCAUCCGCCUGUCCUGGACUCCAGCCCCCCGGCACCCCCUCAAGUAUCUGAUCGUUUGGCGAGCCUCUAGAGGUGGCACCCCCAGGGAGGUGGUGGUGGAGGGGCCCGCCGCCUCCACGGAGCUGCACAACCUGGCCUCCCGCACAGAGUACCUGGUCUCCGUGUUCCCCAUCUAUGAGGGCGGGGUUGGCGAAGGCCUGCGGGGCCUGGUGACCACAGCACCUCUGCCUCCGCCCCGGGCGCUGACCCUGGCCGCAGUGACGCCCAGAACCAUCCACCUCACCUGGCAGCCCUCGGCCGGGGCCACCCACUACCUGGUGCGAUGUUCUCCUGCUUCCCCCAAGGGUGAGGAGGAGGAGCGAGAGGUGCAGGUCGGGCGGCCCGAGGUGCUGCUGGAUGGCCUGGAACCUGGCAGGGACUAUGAGGUCUCGGUGCAGAGCCUGCGAGGCCCUGAGGGCAGCGAGGCCCGGGGCAUCCAUGCCAGGACCCCCGCCCUGGCCCCCCCGAGACACCUGGGCUUCUCAGACGUGAGCCACGACGCGGCACGAGUGUUCUGGGAGGGUGCCCCAAGGCCUGUGCGCCUGGUCAGGGUCACCUAUGUCUCCAGCGAGGGUGGACACUCGGGGCAGAGGCUCCUGGGAACGCCACCUCGGCCACGCUGGGGCCUCUCUCUUCCUCCACCACCUACACUGUCCGUGUCACCUGCCUCUACCCUGGGGGUGGCUCCUCUACGCUGACUGGCCGGGUGACCACCAAGAAAGCUCCCAGCCCAAGCCAGCUGUCCGUGACGGAGCUGCCAGGCGACGCAGUCCAGCUGGCGUGGGUGGCCGCAGCCCCGUCUGGCGUGCUUGUCUACCAGAUCACAUGGACGCCCCUGGGAGAGGGGAAGGCUCACGAGAUCUCUGUCCCAGGGAACCUCGGCACGGCCGUCCUGCCUGGCCUAGGGAGGCACACAGAGUACAACGUCACCAUCUUGGCCUACUACAGGGACGGGGCCCGCAGUGACCCUGUGUCCCUCCGCUAUACCCCCUCCACGGUGAGCAGGAGCCCACCCUCCAACCUGGCCCUGGCCUCGGAGACCCCCGACAGCCUGCAGGUCAGCUGGACACCCCCGCUUGGCCACGUGCUCCAUUACUGGCUCACCUACGCCCCCGCCUCUGGCUUGGGACCUGAGAAAUCCGUCUCUGUGCCAGCACCCAGGAGCCACGUGACACUGCCCGACCUGCAGGCAGCCACGAAGUACAGGGUCCUGCUCUCAGCUAUCUAUGCAGCAGGCAGGAGUGAGGCUGUGUCUGCCAUGGGCCAGACAGCAGCCUGCCCAGCCCUCCGCCCCGACGGCUCCCUCCCAGGGUUUGACCUGAUGGUGGCCUUCAGCCUGGUGGAAAAGGCUUAUGCGUCCAUCCGGGGCGUGGCCAUGGAGCCCUCUGCCUUCGGUGGGACCCCGACCUUCACGCUCUUCAAGGACGCCCAGCUGACAAGACGGGUCAGUGACGUCCUCCCAGCCCCCCUGCCUCCAGAGCACACCAUCGUCUUCCUUCUGCGCCUACUUCCCGAGACACCCCGCGAGGCCUUCGCGCUGUGGCAGAUGACGGCCGAGGACUUCCAGCCCCUCCUUGGGGUUCUGCUGGAUGGUGACGUGGGCCCUGCGUCGCCCCCAGCAGUCAGGAGGAGUAGGGGCAGGGAGGCCCCAGAGCCCUGGGAGGCCUUCAGAGGAAGUCCAGCCUCCAGGCCAGGCCCUCAGCACCCCCUGGGUGGGAGGCAGGUGUCCCGGGCAGGGGGCUGUGGGCCACAUUGAGGGUCACCUCCAGCUUGGCACCCUCAGGGCUGCUCCUGGCCUGUCGUGGGGGCCGCCCUGCUCAAGGUAUAGGCCAGGCUGGUCGCAGCCCGUUCUCACCUGCUCCACCCCUUCCCUGGCAGCCGGGAGGAAGUCCCUGACCUACUUCCACCGCGACCCCAGGGCUGCCUUGCAGGAGGCCACCUUCGACCCGCAGGAAGUGAGGAAGAUUUUCUUCGGGAGCUUCCACAAGGUGCACGUGGCUGUGGGCCGCUCCAAGGUCAGGCUCUAUGUGGACUGCCGGAAGGUGGCUGAGCGGCCCCUUGGGGAGAUGAGCAGCCCACCCGCUGCCGGCUUCGUCACGCUGGGGAGGCUGGCCAAAGCCAGGGGCCCCCGGAGCAGUUCGGCCGUGUUUCAGCUCCAGAUGCUGCAGAUCGUGUGCAGUGACACCUGGGCCGAUGAGGACCGGUGCUGUGAGCUCCCUGCCUCGAGGGAUGGAGAGACCUGCCCGGCCUUCGUGUCUGCCUGUUCCUGUUCCUCAGAGACCCCUGGGCCCCCAGGACCUCAAGGACCCCCAGGCCUCCCUGGGAGGAAUGGCACCCCAGGAGAGCAGGGCUUCCCAGGGCCCAGGGGAGAGCCCGGGCCACCCGGACAGAUGGGACCAGAAGGUCCUGGAGGCCAGCAGGGCUCGCCGGGGACCCAGGGCCGCGCAGUCCAGGGGCCUGUGGUAGGUGUCACUCCUUCCCUGCCCUCCUGCCCUGUGCCCCCUCCGCUUCGCUGUCCAGCCCAUCUCCCCCCUCCAGGGUCCACCAGGGGUCAAAGGAGAGAAAGGAGACCAUGGGCUCCCAGGCUUGCAGGGCCACCCCGGCCACCAGGGCAUCCCCGGGAGAGUUGGCCUCCAGGGACCAAAGGGAAUGAGAGGCCUGGAGGGAACUGCUGGCCUGCCUGGACCCCCUGGCCCCAGGGGGUUCCAGGGCAUGGCAGGGGCCAGGGGCACUAGUGGAGAGCGAGGACCUCCAGGGACCGUGGGGCCCACAGGACUGCCAGGGCCCAAAGGGGAACGAGGAGAGAAGGGCGAGCCGCAGUCCCUUGCCACCCUCUACCAGCUUGUGAGCCAGGCCUGUGAGUCUGCCAUUCAGACUCACGUGUCAAAGUUCGACUCCUUCCACAAGAACACCAGGCCCCCCAUGCCCAUCUUGGAGCAGAAGCUGGAGCCGGGCACUGAGCCCCUGGGGUCCCCUGGCACCCGCAGCAAGGCCCUGGUUCCUGGAGAAUGGGGGCGUGGUGGCCGCCACCUUGAGGGCAGAGGGGAGCCUGGAGCUGUUGGUCAGACGGGCAGCCCUGGGCAGCAGGGGGCUAGCACCCAGGGCCUCUGGGAGUGACAGGACAUUUUCUGCACUGCCCCGAGGAACGCUGAGCCUUCCUCCCUGGGUUUCUCUGGACACCGAGAGCGACCACAUCCUGGAGAAGCCAGGAGAAAAGCUCAGGAAGAGCCUGCAGGUGGAAGGAGAGAGAAGCAGCGGCCUCGGCCAAGGCCCACCCCAUGCUCUUGGCUCUGUAGCAUUUCCAAGUUCAGAUAAACCCCUGAGUGCUCACCCA
rnacentral:sRNA from 1 species